GCCUGGGGGAUGGAGUUGCUUUUUUCUGAGAUUUGCCUUUGGCUGAAAUUUGGGCCGAGGAAGAGCCUGGGGUCUGAGCCGGACUCUGCCGCGUGAGAGCCCCGGCAUCUGAAGGUCCGUCUGGCUUCCUGAGGGCAGGGGCUCUGUCCAGCGUGGCAUAGCUUAUUUUGGGUGUCAUUAAUAUUUGUUGAGCAAAAACUCAGCCACCAGUCUGUGUAGGAUGUUUACCGAGAGCCCUCACCGGUGGGCCAGGUACCUCGCUGGCCUUGGACCGGUCUGCCUGAGACCCAGGCUGCUCUCCAGGGCUCCAGGCUGAUGUGGGUGACAGGCAUCAAAGGGACCUUUGUAAGAAGUACUACCACCAUCCAUCAGGAAGUGUUGAAACAGGAAGUGGUCACCUCCCAUCUUCUGGGCAUCCCGGCCGAGACGCUGUCACGGAAAACGCUCACCUCGGCCUAGUCCUGCGUACGAGAUUACCCAUCGCCGCCUCCCUCCCAGUGACCCAGGACCACCUAUGAGCAUCAGGGCCCAGCGCGUGAUCUCAAGCUCUUCACGGUUAUUACAGGUGUCAACAGGUUGGAAAUAAAGCCAGAAGCUCUGUUGAGAUUCGGCCGUCAAGAUCCAAAAAGGAGCAUUCUGCUUCCCGGCAUUCCUUGCCAAGGAUGAUCUCAGAUUCAUCUGUUCCCAUUCACAGUGAGCAAAGGCCUCAAGUUUAUUAAGGGACACAGCCCAGCCUUCCAGACCUCGGAGUGCUACCAACCUCCCACGACCACAGCCCUGAUCAGCUUGCAGGGGUGCUCAGGUCACCCACGAGUGAACACCUGCCCAGAGACGGAAUGAGCCCAACUGAAGACCACACAACCCAGCUCCCCCAACCCCAUCCCUACGCUGGUGCCUGCACUCAACCGAAAAGCAAAAGACAAGGUGCCUACAAGAUAGAAAGUAUCCUGAUAUAAAACCUCGAGAGGGAUGGGGCGCCUGGGUGGCUCAGCCGGUUCGUGGCAAUCUCACGGUUCGCGGGUUCCGGCCCCGCGUCGGGCUCUGUGCUGACAGCUCGGAGCCUGGA